AUGGCAUCCUCCCCUUCUUUCCUUCUCCUCGCUGCUCUUCUUGCCUUGGUCUCAUGGCAGGCCGUUGCAUCCGAUCCUGGCCCGCUCCAGGACUUUUGUGUCGCCGACAUGCAAUCACCAGUGCGUGUCAAUGGAUUUGUUUGCAAGAACCCGAUGGAGGUCAAUGCUGAUGAUUUCUUCAAGGCAGCCGCCCUCGACAAGCCUAGGGUGACCAACAAGGUUGGCUCCAACGUCACCUUGAUCAAUGUCAUGCAGAUUGCCGGACUCAACACCCUCGGCAUCUCAAUUGCGCGCAUCGACUAUGCUCCCUUGGGCCAGAACCCACCACAUACGCACCCCCGCGCCACUGAGAUCCUCACAGUGCUCGAGGGGACACUAUACGUUGGCUUUGUCACAUCCAACCUGCCCGCCCCAGCCAGAAACAAGUUCUUCUCGAAGGUGCUCAACAAAGGUGAUGUGUUUGUCUUCCCCGUGGGGCUCAUCCACUUCCAAUUCAACCCCAACCCCCAUCAGCCCGCCGUUGCAAUUGCCGCGCUCAGCAGCCAGAACCCAGGGGCUAUCACAAUUGCCAAUGCAGUGUUUGGGUCAGACCCACCAAUAUCCGAUGAUGUUCUUGCCAAGGCGUUUCAGGUGGAAAAGAAUACAAUAGACUGGCUCCAGGCUCAGUUCUGGGAGAACAACCACAACUAA
rnacentral:rRNA from 1 species